rnacentral:rRNA from 1 species
CCUACGGGUGGCUGCAGUGAGGAAUCUUGGUCAAUGGGCGCGAGCCUGAACCAGCCAAGUAGCGUGAAGGAUGACUGCCCUACGGUUUGUAAACUUCGUUUAUAAAGGAAUAAGGUGGUGCACGUGUGCCUUUUUGUAUGUACUUUAUGAAUAAGGAUCGGCUAACUCCGUUCCAGCAGCCGCGGUAAUACGGAGGAUACGAGGGUUAUCCGGAUGUAUUGGGUUUAACGUGAGCGUAGCUCGGUUGUUAAUUAAGUUGGGAAGUUUUGCGGCUCAACCGGAGAAUUGUAGUGGAUACUGGCAGUCUUGAGUACAGAUGAGGAGGGCGGAAUUCGAGGUGUAGCGGUGAAAGGCUUAGAUAUCACGAAGAACACCGAUGGCGAAGGCAUCUCACUAAUCCGCGAUUGACGCUGAUGCACGAAAGCGUGGGUAUCAAACAGGAUUAGAUACCCGGGUAGUC